GACGAACGCUGGCGGCGUGCUUAACACAUGCAAGUCGAACGGAAAGACCCGGCGUUUGUUUGUUUCUCGAUUGGCGAGCGGGUGAGUAACACGUGAGUAACCUGCCCUUAACUGUGGGAUAACACCAGGGAACUGCGGCGCAUACCGCAGAUGAGCUCUUGCUCCGUAGGGUUGGUUGGUAAGUUUCGGCGUUUCGGUAUGUACUCGCUGCUUAUCAGCUGGUUUGGGUGGUUGUGGAGUACCAAGCCUUUGACGGGUACCCCGACUCAGAGGGUGACAGGCCACAUUGGCACUGAGGUGAGGCCGCGACUGCUACGGGAGGGAGAAGUGGGGAAUCGUGAACAAUGGGCGGAAGCCUGAUGAAGCAACGCCGCGUGCGGGAUAACGGCGUUCGGGGUGUAAAACGUUUUCGUAUGUAACGGAGCGUGAGUGAAGGUAAUGGGUAAAGAAGGCCCCGCUAAAUACGUG
rnacentral:rRNA from 1 species